CUGAAGGCCGCGGGACAGCCGGGACGUGGAACGGCUGAGGAGAAUGUCCAGUUAGGAAUGUGGGCCAGUGCUUGAGAGGACAGUGUGGAAGUGACCCGGUGGUCGUGAGCCGGGACAGCCGGCCCUGAGCUGCCACUUGGCUGAACUGUUUGGCCUCUCGAAGGUGCAUUAUUUAGCAAGCAUUGACCUUCAGCUGUGCUAGAUUAUGUUCAAAGUAGAGUUGAGAAAUGUGUUUAAAUGGAGGAAAACAGCACGGCGGUCUAGGUGCUGGGGAAGCGCUCAGCAGACAUCGGCUUGACCGCAGCUUGCUGGUAGACUGCAGGUAAUUGGGCUGCAGGUCAGAGAGUUAGAUGGAGCCUGCUCCUGGCUUUUGCCACCAUUUGGAGAGUGAAUCCAUGGCUGGAACAACUCUGACUCUGCCUUUCGUAGGAAAUAUAAAUAAAAUAGAACAAUUACCAGAUUUGGGGCCAAUCUGAGACCUGAACAUCAUACAGCUUUACCUGGUGUCUGCAAGCUGUGACUUCCAUAGCUCAGAGUGUAGCUGCAAAGACCUCCCCCAGGGCGGCUUAGAUGAAGAGAAUGAAAGCAUCUGGCUUUCUACCCCAAGGUUCCCAUAAUGAAGAGCCACCUGCCAGGAAUCUAGAGUGUCCUGGUUCCUGAGAGCCAGUCUGUUUGAGUGACACCAAAAGGAAGAAAGAUGAAGCAAUAUUUACGUUGUAUGCUGAGGCUGGCCCAGAGAGCGGGAGAAGUGACUGCAUGACUCCCGGCAUCUCAGCAUGGAUGAGAAAGGGGGAAG